rnacentral:rRNA from 1 species
UACGGGGGGGGCAAGCGUUGUUCGGAAUUACUGGGCGUAAAGGGUUCGUAGGUGGCCAACUAAGUCAGACGUGAAAUCCCUCAGCUUAACUGGGGAACUGCGUCUGAUACUGCUUGGCUUGAGUGCAGGAGAGGAAUGCGAAAUUCCAGGUGUAGCGGUGAAAUGCGUAGAUAUCUGGAGGAACACCGGUGGCGAAGGCGGCAUUCUGGACUGCAACUGACACUGAAGAACGAAAGCCAGGGGAGCAAACGGG